rnacentral:lncRNA from 1 species
CAGGAACUGAAGACGGCGGCCAAGAACGUCAAUUACUGGAGCGGCGUCACCUCGAUGAUGCCCCUCGUUGGUGGAUUCGUGGCCGAUGCGUACUUGGGCAGAUUCUCCACCGUUCUCCUCUCCACCCUCAUCUACAUCGGGGUACACCUGCUCGCUCGCUGCCAUCCAUACCUUCUUCUCAUCUUCUUUGACAUCAUGUGCUUGGUGGCAUUUGAUCGCUGCAGGGUCUCGGCCUGUUAACCAUGUCGCAGACGGUCCCGCGGCUGAAGCCAUGCGACGCGAGCGGCGCCUGCGGCCGAUCACUGCGACUCCACAAGGUCAUCUUCUUCGUGGCCAUGUACCUGAUCUCGGGGGGCACCGGCGGCCACAAGCCGUCGCUCGAGAGCUUCGGCGCCGACCAGUUCGACGACAACCACGCGGAGGAGCGGAAGCAGAAGAUGUCCUACUUCAACUGGUGGAGCUUCGCCCUCUGCAGCGGGCUGACGCUGGGGGUCACCGUCGUCGUCUACGUCCAGGACGCCGUCAGCUGGUGGCUGGCCGACGUCGUGCUCACCGCCGUCAUGUGUUUCUGCU